rnacentral:rRNA from 1 species
ACAUGCCUACAACAUAGUGUUAAUGCACCAGAUCCCAUUAGAACUCCAUAGUUAAGCACACUUAGGCUAGAGUAGUACUGGGAUGGGUGACCGCUUGAGAAGUCCUAGUGUUUUACAUGCC